rnacentral:rRNA from 1 species
GAUGGACCCGCGGUGCAUUAGCUAGUUGGUGAGGUAACGGCUCACCAAGGCCACGAUGCAUAGCCGACCUGAGAGGGUGAUCGGCCACAUUGGGACUGAGACACGGCCCAAACUCCUACGGGAGGCAGCAGUAGGGAAUCUUCGGCAAUGGACGGAAGUCUGACCGAGCAACGCCGCGUGAGUGAAGAAGGUUUUCGGAUCGUAAAACUCUGUUGUUAGAGAAGAACAAGGGUGAGAGUAACUGUUCACCCCUUGACGGUAUCUAACCAGAAAGCCACGGCUAACUACGUGCCAGCAGCCGCGGUAAUACGUAGGUGGCAAGCGUUGUCCGGAUUUAUUGGGCGUAAAGCGAGCGCAGGCGGUUUCUUAAGUCUGAUGUGAAAGCCCCCGGCUCAACCGGGGAGGGUCAUUGGAAACUGGGAGACUUGAGUGCAGAAGAGGAGAGUGGAAUUCCAUGUGUAGCGGUGAAAUGCGUAGAUAUAUGGAGGAACACCAGAGGCGAAGGCGGCUCUCUGGUCUGUAACUGACGCUGAGGCUCGAAAGCGUGGGGAGCAAACAGGAUUAGAUACCCUGGUAGUCCACGCC